AACCUAGCACACCUGCGGUGUGUACCUGCGGAAGGAUCAUUACCGAGUUAGGGUAGUCACUCACUGCCCGACCUCCCAACCCUGUGUCUACUACACUGUCGUUGCUUCGGCGGACCGGUUGACCAACUGGUCGUGACCGCCGGGGACAGGCUUUGUCCUCCCUGGAGAGCGUCCGCCGAUGGCCCAACCACAAAACUCUUGUACCGAAACGUGUCGUCUGAAAUAUUUGAGAAAUCAAAA
rnacentral:misc_RNA from 1 species